rnacentral:rRNA from 1 species
UCAUUUAGUUUGGGCUACGUCUAAAGUAAGACUGCCGGUCGGUCUAAACCGGAGGAAGGUGGGGAUGACGUCAAGUCCUCAUGGCCUUUAUGCCCAGGGCUACACACGUGCUACAAUGGGUGGUACAAAGAGCAGCCAGCUCGCGAGAGUGAGCAAAUCUCAAAAAGCCAUCCUCAGUUCGGAUUGAAGUCUGCAACUCGACUUCAUGAAGUUGGAAUCGCUAGUAAUCGCGGAUCAGCAUGUCACGGUGAAUACGUUCCCGGGUCUU